UACGAAGGGGGCUAGCGUUGUUCGGAUUUACUGGGCGUAAAGCGCACGUAGGCGGAUUGUUAAGUCAGGGGUGAAAUCCCGGAGCUCAACUCCGGAACUGCCUUUGAUACUGGCAAUCUUGAGAUUGGAAGAGGUUAGUGGAAUUCCCAGUGUAGAGGUGAAAUUCGUAGAUAUUGGGAAGAACACCAGUGGCGAAGGCGGCUAACUGGUCCAGUACUGACGCUGAGGUGCGAAAGCGUGGGGAGCAAACAGG
rnacentral:rRNA from 1 species